AUACGUAGGUGACAAGCGUUAUCCGGAUUUACUGGGCGUAAAGGGCGUGUAGGCGGUCUUGCAAGUCAGAAGUGAAAUUCCUGAGCUCAACUCGGGCGCUGCUUCUGAAACUGCAGGACUUGAGUGCUGGAGGGGAUAGCGGAAUUCCUAGUGGAGCGGUAAAAUGCGCAGAUAUUAGGAAGAACACCGGUGGCGAAGGCGUCAUUCCGGACGGUAACGGGCGCGGGGCCACGAAAUCGGGAGGAAAAAAUAGGAGUAGAUGCCCUGGUAGUCCACGCCGUAAACGAUGAAUACUAGGUUUAGGGGGUAUCGGCUCCCUCUGUGCCGCAGUUAACACAAUAAGUAUUCCGCCUGGGGAGUUCGGUCGCAAGGUUGAAACUUAAAGGAAUUUACGGGG
rnacentral:rRNA from 1 species